rnacentral:rRNA from 1 species
AUUGAACGCUGGCGGCAGGCCUAACACAUGCAAGUCGAACGAGUGGCGGACGGGUGAGUAAUGUCUGGGAAACUGCCUGAUGGAGGGGGCUAACUACUGGAAACGGUAGCUAAUACCGCAUACCAUCGGAUCUGCCCAGAUGGGAUUAGCUAGUUGGUGGGGUAACGGCUCACCUAGGCGACGAUCCCUAGCUGGUCUGAGAGGAUGACCAGCCAAACUGGAACUGAGAAACGGUCCAGACUCCUACGGGAGGCAGCAGUGGGGAAUAUUGCACAAUGGGCGAAAGCCUGAUGCAGCCAUGCCGCGUGUAUGAAGAAGGCCUUCGGGUUGUAAAGUACUUUCAGCGGUGAGGCGUUACCCGCAGAAGAAGCACCGGCUAACUCCGUGCCAGCAGCCGCGGUAAUAC